GAUUAAGUUAUUAAGGGCGCACGGUGGAUGCCUUGGCACUAGAAGCCGACGAAGGACGUUACUAACGACGAUAUGCUUUGGGUAGCUGUAAGUAAGCGUUGAUCCAGAGAUUUCCGAAUGGGGGAACCCAGCACGAGUUAUGUCGUGUUAUCGACAAGUGAAUUCAUAGCUUGUCAGAAGGCAGACCCGGAGAACUGAAACAUCUUAGUACCCGGAGGAAGAGAAAGAAAAAUCGAUUCCCUGAGUAGCGGCGAGCGAAACGGGAAGAGCCCAAACCAAUAAGCUUGCUUAUUGGGGUUGUAGGACACUCUAUACGGAGUUACAAAGGAAUAUAUUAGACGAAUCAUCUGGAAAGUUGAAUCAAAGAAGGUAAUAAUCCUGUAGUUGAAAAUAUAUUCUCUCUUGAGUGGAUCCUGAGUACGACGGAGCACGUGAAAUUCCGUCGGAAUCUGGGAGGACCAUCUCCUAAGGCUAAAUACUCUCUAGUGACCGAUAGUGAACCAGUACCGUGAGGGAAAGGUGAAAAGUACCCCGGAAGGGGAGUGAAAGAGAACUUGAAACCGUGUGCUUACAAGUAGUCAGAGCCCGUUAAUGGGUGAUGGCGUGCCUUUUGUAGAAUGAACCGGCGAGUUACGAUCUGAUGCAAGGUUAAGCAGGAGAUGUGGAGCCGUAGCGAAAGCGAGUCUGAAUAGGGCGUUGAGUAUUUGGUCGUAGACCCGAAACCAGGUGAUCUACCCAUGGUCAGGUUGAAGUUCAGGUAACACUGAAUGGAGGACCGAACCGACUUACGUUGAAAAGUGAGCGGAUGAACUGUGGGUAGCGGAGAAAUUCCAAUCGAACUUGGAGAUAGCUGGUUCUCUCCGAAAUAGCUUUAGGGCUAGCCUCAAGUGAUGAUUAUUGGAGGUAGAGCACUGUUUGGACGAGGGGCCCCUCUCGGGUUACCGAAUUCAGACAAACUCCGAAUGCCAAUUAAUUUAACUUGGGAGUCAGAACAUGGGUGAUAAGGUCCGUGUUCGAAAGGGAAACAGCCCAGACCACCAGCUAAGGUCCCAAAAUAUAUGUUAAGUGGAAAAGGAUGUGGCGUUGCCCAGACAACUAGGAUGUUGGCUUAGAAGCAGCCAUCAUUUAAAGAGUGCGUAAUAGCUCACUAGUCGAGUGACACUGCGCCGAAAAUGUACCGGGGCUAAACAUAUUACCGAAGCUGUGGAUUGUCCGUAGGACAAUGGUAGGAGAGCGUUCUAAGGGCGUUGAAGCAUGAUCGCAAGGACAUGUGGAGCGCUUAGAAGUGAGAAUGCCGGUGUGAGUAGCGAAAGACGGGUGAGAAUCCCGUCCACCGAUUGACUAAGGUUUCCAGAGGAAGGCUCGUCCGCUCUGGGUUAGUCGGGUCCUAAGCUGAGGCCGACAGGCGUAGGCGAUGGAUAACAGGUUGAUAUUCCUGUACCACCUAGCAUCGUUUUAAUCGAUGGGGGGACGCAGUAGGAUAGGCGAAGCGUACGAUUGGAUUGUACGUCCAAGCAGUGAGAUUGAGUGUUAGGCAAAUCCGGCACUCUUAAGAUUGAGCUGUGAUGGGGAGAGGAAAUUGUUUCCUCGAGUCGUUGAUUUCACACUGCCGAGAAAAGCCUCUAGAUAGAUAAUAGGUGCCCGUACCGCAAACCGACACAGGUAGUCAAGAUGAGAAUUCUAAGGUGAGCGAGCGAACUCUCGUUAAGGAACUCGGCAAAAUGACCCCGUAACUUCGGGAGAAGGGGUGCUCUUUAGGGUGCAAGCCCAGAAGAGCCGCAGUGAAUAGGCCCAAGCGACUGUUUAUCAAAAACACAGGUCUCUGCUAAACCGUAAGGUGAUGUAUAGGGGCUGACGCCUGCCCGGUGCUGGAAGGUUAAGAGGAGUAGUUAGCUUCUGCGAAGCUACGAAUCGAAGCCCCAGUAAACGGCGGCCGUAACUAUAACGGUCCUAAGGUAGCGAAAUUCCUUGUCGGGUAAGUUCCGACCCGCACGAAAGGCGUAACGAUUUGGGCACUGUCUCAACGAGAGACUCGGUGAAAUCAUAGUACCUGUGAAGAUGCAGGUUACCCGCGACAGGACGGAAAGACCCCGUGGAGCUUUACUGUAGCCUGAUAUUGAAAUUCGGCACAGCUUGUACAGGAUAGGUAGGAGCCUUUGAAACGUGAGCGCUAGCUUACGUGGAGGCGCUGGUGGGAUACUACCCUAGCUGUGUUGGCUUUCUAACCCGCACCACUUAUCGUGGUGGGAGACAGUGUCAGGCGGGCAGUUUGACUGGGGCGGUCGCCUCCUAAAAGGUAACGGAGGCGCUCAAAGGUUCCCUCAGAAUGGUUGGAAAUCAUUCAUAGAGUGUAAAGGCAUAAGGGAGCUUGACUGCGAGACCUACAAGUCGAGCAGGGUCGAAAGACGGACUUAGUGAUCCGGUGGUUCCGCAUGGAAGGGCCAUCGCUCAACGGAUAAAAGCUACCCCGGGGAUAACAGGCUUAUCUCCCCCAAGAGUUCACAUCGACGGGGAGGUUUGGCACCUCGAUGUCGGCUCAUCGCAUCCUGGGGCUGUAGUCGGUCCCAAGGGUUGGGCUGUUCGCCCAUUAAAGCGGUACGCGAGCUGGGUUCAGAACGUCGUGAGACAGUUCGGUCCCUAUCCGUCGUGGGCGUAGGAAAUUUGAGAGGAGCUGUCCUUAGUACGAGAGGACCGGGAUGGACAUACCUCUGGUGUACCAGUUGUCGUGCCAACGGCAUAGCUGGGUAGCUAUGUAUGGACGGGAUAAGUGCUGAAAGCAUCUAAGCAUGAAGCCCCCCUCAAGAUGAGAUUUCCCAACUUCGGUUAUAAGAUCCCUCAAAGAUGAUGAGGUUAAUAGGUUCGAGGUGGAAGCGUGGUGACACGUGGAGCUGACGAAUACUAAUCGAUCGAAGACUUAAUCAA
rnacentral:rRNA from 1 species